rnacentral:rRNA from 1 species
UACGGAGGGUGCAAGCGUUAUCCGGAUUCACUGGGCUUAAAGGGCGCGUAGGUGGCUUUGUAAGUCAGUGGUGAAAUAUUGCGGCUCAACCGCAAAACUGCCAUUGAUACUGCUUAGCUUGAAUCACGUCGAGGUGGAUGGAAUAAUACAUGUAGCGGUGAAAUGCUUAGAUAUGUAUUAGAACACCGAUUGCGAAGGCAGUUCACUAGGCGUGUAUUGACACUGAGGCUCGAAAGCGUGGGGAUCAAACAGG